UGUGUGUAUAUUGCAGAGAUGGCAAAAGUACUCAAUUCCCGUACUCAAGUAGAAGUACAAAUACUCGUGUUAAAAAAUACUCUGGUAAAAGUG